rnacentral:rRNA from 1 species
GCGUGGGUGAUGAAGCAUCGAGGUGCGUAAAGCCCUGUUAGGAGGGAAGAACAUCCGCCAUCUGGCGGAUUGACGGUACCUCCAGAGAAAGCUCCGGCUAACUCCGUGCCAGCAGCCGCGGUAAUACGGGGGGAGCAAGCGUUGUCCGGAUUUACUGGGCGUAAAGAGAGUGUAGGCGGGGUGGUCAGUCAGUUGUGAAAACUUGCGGCUCAACCGUAAGCGUGCGUCUGAUACUGCCACUCUUGAGUACGGAAGGGGGAAGUGGAAUUCCUGGUGUAGCGGUGAAAUGCGU